UACGUAGGGUCCGAGCGUUGUCCGGAAUUAUUGGGCGUAAAGGGCUCGUAGGCGGUCUGUUGCGUCGGGAGUGAAAACUUACAGCUUAACUGUGAGCGUGCUUUCGAUACGGGCAGACUUGAGGCAUUCAGGGGAGAACGGAAUUCCUGGUGUAGCGGUGAAAUGCGCAGAUAUCAGGAGGAACACCGGUGGCGAAGGCGGCUCUCUGGACCAGCACUGACACUGAGGCACGAAAGCGUGGGGAGCAAACAGG
rnacentral:rRNA from 1 species